AAUUAUCCUAGAAUUGUUAUUUGUACUUUAUAUCCCUGAUCGAAUCAAACUUACAAUGGAGUUUUUAGAACCCACGCACCUGUUUUUGCCCCAUUUUCGAGAUUACAUAAAAAUUGGCAUUUGUUUUCUUUCUAACUAAAUUAAUACAGAAUAUGAUUAAAACUCCAAAAGCAAUCCCCAUUAAC
rnacentral:sRNA from 1 species